rnacentral:rRNA from 1 species
AGGACUACAGUCCAGCGCUGAAUUGUAUUGUUGGCAACAGCGAUACAACAUGUAGCGUGAAGCAAGCAUCUAUUGAUACCGUUAUUGUGUGUAAGUCUCCAUGAGCGGGGCCAAGUUCCAGGGAUGGUGCAAGGCCAGUGUCGCACAUAACGAGUGUUUCAAUGCAAGCUUGUAGAGAGUCAGGUUGUUUGGGAACGCAACCUAAAGUCGGUGGUAUGCUCCAUCGAAGACUAAAUAUGGCCACGAGUCCGAUAGCGAACAAGUACCGUGAGGGAAAAUUGAAAAGCACUUUGAAGAGAGAGCGAAACAGUGCGUGAAACCGCUCAGAGGUAAGCAGAUGGACCCUCGAAGGUUGUUUAGUUGAUUUAUCAAUUAUCAGCACGCCACCACUAUUGCUGGAUGCGUCCGUAGCUGACUGUGGACACUUGAGAUUGAGCUUCGGCUUGCUCGAGAUGCUUGCAGUCAGCGCUUACGCGAGUGACUACGGCAUCUGGUAAUAGCACCAGGGCGCUAGUUGGUAACAAUUGCGGGCGCUUGCCGGUUCAUUGUUUCAUUCUCAAGAUGUGAGUAGCAUCUUGNGCUUGAGCAAUGCGCUGCAACACGUUUGUAUUAUGUUGCCUUCUAUCAAGUGCCCGGUGGCGAGUAGACGGUUUUCCAUCUAUCCCGUCUUGAAACACGGACCAAGGAGUUCAGCACAUGUGCAGGUUGUUGGGUAUAGACACCCGAAGGCAAAGUGAAAGCGAGCGAUGCAACUCGGUUGUAUCAUGUGGCAAGAUCUCGGCUCUUUGAGCUGGGCGCACUGCCGGCCCGUUUUCUAGCUACGCGCUCGAAACGGAGUUUGAGCACAUACGCUGAGACCCGAAAGAUGGUGAACUAUGCCUGGGCAGGAUGAAGUCAGGGGAAACUCUGAUGGAAGUCCGUAGCGAUUCUGACGUGCAAAUCGAUCGUCUGACCUGGGUAUAGGGGCGAAAGACUAAUCGAACCAUCUAAUAGCUGGUUCCUUCCGAAGUUUCCCUCAGGAUAGCUGGUGCUAUUUGUUCAGUCUCUCCCGGUAAAGCGAAUGAUUAGAGGUCUUGGGGGCAAAACGCCCUCAACCUAUUCUCAAACUUUAAAUGGGUGAGAAGUCCAGCUUACUUAAGUGAAGUCUGGACUCUAGGAUGUUUGAGUACCAAGUGGGCCAUUUUUGGUAAGCAGAACUGGCGCUGUGGGAUGAACCGAACGCUGGGUUACGGUGUCCGAGUAUACGCUCAUCAGACCCCACAAAAGGUGUUGGUUGCUAUAGACAGCAGGACGGUGGCCAUGGAAGUCGGAAUCCGCUAAGGAGUGUGUAACAACUCACCUGCCGAAGCAAUUAGCCCUGAAAAUGGAUGACGCUUGAGCGUGUCACCUAUACCCGGCCGUUGGAGCACACGUUGUGUUGGCAUUUAUCGUGUCUCACACAAUGAACUAGACGUGCUAGUAAUGCUCCAACGAGUAGGAAGGUCGCGGUGGUAAGCAUUGAAGCGUUAGCGGUGUAGACCGGCGUGGAGCUGCCAUCGGUGCAGAUCUUGGUGGUAGUAGCAAAUACUCAAGCGAGAAUCUUGAGGACUGAAGUGGGGAAGGGUUCCAUGUGAACAGCAGUUGAACAUGGGUCAGUCGAUCCUAAGCCAUCGGCGAAAGCCGUUCAGAAGCGGUGUUAGUUUUUGUAUUAGUUGUGUUUCGGCAUGGCUGGUACUACUGGCUAGGGAUUUUCUCUUUCCAGUGACUGCACCUGGCGAAAGGGAAUUGGGUUAACAUUCCCAAACCAAGCAACGGAUAGUGCUUGUCUACUUGGUUAUGGGGGCUGCGUGCCAUCAUAAUCUGGGCAAGACCAUACGGUAACGUAAACAAAUUUGACUACACUGACCGGCGCCCUGGGAAGAGUUGUCUUUUCUUUAUAAGCAGUCGACCCCAUGGAAUAGGUUCAGCCUGAGAUAUGGGGA